GUUGCAGACACGUGAAAUUUGCCGCCACGCACAGGAUCGGAGCGUCCCUAAGAGUUACAGACCUUCACGUUGGCUGAGGUGAAAUGAAAAAGCUCCUCCUCAAAGUCACAGAAGCGGUCGUGAAAGAUGGCCAGACACCAACUCUGCUUGAAGAAGCUGCAGCACGGGGAGGCACAAGGUCAAAGGUCAGGCUGCAAACUCAUCCGAGCAUGGUUGGCUGGACCCAGCAAGAGGGCGGCGUCUUAUACUUUCCACAGGAUAUAGACAGCAAUCAGCGAUCAGCUGCAGCACGUCCAUCAAGAUCGGAGGUGCCGAAGGGGGCCAUUUGCGGGCUGGGGCACAUUCUAAAAAUCAGCGGUAAUUUUACAAGCGAAAUGUCAAAAUAUUAAAAGAAAAAAGUUGUAAUCUAAGGGGAAAGGUCAUCACUUGAGGAGAACAACCUAGGAGGAAUAUUAGGAGGAAAAUAAUGUCAUUUUAGUAGCAUAAAGU